CGCGCCGCGGGUCCGUUAUGGCGGCUCGACCCGGCGGGUUCGCUCCUCAACGGGCCGUGCCUCGCCGCCGGGGGGCCGCUUCCCCUGCUGCAGAGGCUAAAAUGGCAGCGGAUGUGGGAAGCUAGUUCUGUAACUUGCACCUCUGGUAAAGGUUAUCUGGCCACUCCAUCCUGUGUACACUCAGGUCAGCUAGGAGAAGGGGACAUCUCCCCGGUCAGGUGUUUGUUGUGGUCCCUCCCAAGCACAGGUUCGUGCCGUUGCAUAAAAAGCAGAACCAGGGAGAUGAGCACGCUGCGAAGGAGGUAUGCUUUUCUUCUCUUGAAUUAAUUUUCUGAGGAAUUGGUCUUCAGGUCUGGCUCACAAGAGAGUCCGUGCAGAGGCCUUUGCCAGCCCAGGAGGGAAGGCAGGGGCAGCUGAAGCAGAGGAAGGUGAGGCCGUGCUUUCAAGCAACAGCUGGAUAUCUUCAGGGUUGUGGAAUUGGUGUACCCGAGGAGAACACUAUGGGACAGGUCUCUUGUUUUGAUUCGCUCUGAUGCUGAGCUAAGAGUCACCUUACAGACUGACUCGUUCAGGACUUUGAAAGGCCCUCAUUAGAAGAGCUGUUCUGUCAUCCGUGGAUGCAGGAUAUUCAUCUAGCCUAGAAGAAGGGAGAGAGCCACAGGCACACUUUGAUCCAGGGCCCGCUGGAGCCCUGGGCAGAAACCUGACAGCCUGGUCUCAGCCCAGGGAAGGAGAAGGAGCCCCUGGAGAAGCUGUACCAGGUGGGGCUGCUACUGUUGGAGACAGCGAGGACACCAUCAAGAAUGGCAGCCUCUCCCUGGACCUGGCCACUGGCAAGUUGAAUAUGAUGGACUUCAAUUCUGGCACCUUCUUCAAAGCCUGGCUGUUGUGGUGUUCUUUUCUUAUUUGACGUUGGUUUAACCCAUUACCCCCACUGUCUGCUAUGGUUCAGUCUGGAAUCCCCCUUCUCCCUCUGGUCUGCCCUUCCCCAGCAUAAGAAUCAUAUCAAUCUUUUGUCUCCUCCCCUGUUACCCCGGAUAUCCCCUGUCAAUCCCUCCCCGAAUUCCUGUCCAUCACUUACUGGCCUCUCCUUUCCUUCCAGAAAAUUCUUCCCUUGCCAGUGGGUGAUUGGAUCAGGAACAAGGGCCCCUCCUCUCUGCCAUCCCUAUUCACCCAACAAUGUGUCCAUCACAAGUUUGUUCCUUCCCAGAGUUUCUCCCAUUGGUCAUUGUAUUCGCCCCACCCGAGUGCUCCACCCCCUUUAUAUUGUGUUGUACCGCCUUUCUCUUGGUCUCUUCCGGGUUGGAUUCCCUGGAGACAAAUAAAGCCUCUGGACUGUGCCCCCGAGAAGAGUCCCUCUUUUCUUUACUUCUGCUUCGUCUACCUGCUGCCCAUCGCUGCCUCCUGCCGAGGCGCUCCCCGGACGCCCCAGGUGCAUCUGGGAAGUGCCCCCACGCUGUCAGCUGCUGUGUCUCAGCUUGGCCGGUGCGAUCUCCUCCCCUGCCCGGGGGAGUAGAGAAGGAUUUGGGACAGCAGUGCGGCACCUGGCUCCACAGCAAAUUUACAGACGAGUCCACACGCAGUGGGAUGCUCCCAGUUUUGGGCAUUGCACAGCCAGGCCAGGAACCAAAGGUUCCCCCCUCUGCUGGGGUGGAUGCAGCUGAUCCCUCAGUUGGCUGCCCAGCUGCUUUUGGCAGGGCUGGGGGCAUGGGCUGGGAGGAAGCGUUCCAGGUGGGGUCCAGUCUGGAUUGGGAAGUGCUUGGGAGCAGCUGUGGCGUGGAUGGGCCGUGCCCUUUGGCGCAGGCUGAGGAUAUUUUUUGGGACCAGCUUUUCUUCCAGCCGUGGAGGGCGUGAGCCGGGCUCUGCAGAUGCUGAGGCUGCUCUGGGCUCUGCCAGGGCUCUGCUGGAGCUCAGCACCGGGCCGGAAUCAGCCAAAGAAGAAAUGGUGUCACCUGCAGCACAGGCUUGCUUGAGCAUUUCGGCAACACAGCUCAAGUUUGCAGCGUGGACACCUGCAAGGGAAAACAUGACAUCUCCCAGAAUGAAGCUUUUUCAAUAGCUUCUGACAUUAAAUUAAUUUGGGAUGACCCCAAAUGA